GAUGAACGCUGGCGGCGUGCCUAAUACAUGCAAGUCGAGCGAACAGACGAGGAGCUUGCUCCUCUGACGUUAGCGGCGGACGGGUGAGUAACACGUGGAUAACCUACCUAUAAGACUGGGAUAACUUCGGGAAACCGGAGCUAAUCCCGGAUAAUAUAUUGAACCGCAUGGUUCAAUAGUGAAAGACGGUUUUGCUGUCACUUAUAGAUGGAUCCGCGCCGCGUUAGCUAGUUGGUAAGGUAACAGCUUACCAAGGCAACGAUGCGUAACCGACCUGAGAGGGUGAUCGCCCACACUGGAACUGAGACACGGUCAAGACUCCUACGGGAGGCAGCAGUAGGGAAUCUUCCGCAAUGGGCGAAAGCCUGACGGAGCAACGCCGCGUGAGUGAUGAAGGUCUUCGGAUCGUAAAACUCUGUUAUUAGGGAAGAACAAAUGUGUAAGUAACUAUGCACGUCUUGACGGUACCUAAUCAGAAAGCCACGGCUAACUACGUG
rnacentral:rRNA from 1 species